rnacentral:rRNA from 1 species
UAAGUGAAGAGUUUGAUCAUGGCUCAGAUUGAACGCUGGCGGCAGGCCUAACACAUGCAAGUCGAACGGCAGCACAGGAGAGCUUGCUCUCUGGGUGGCGAGUGGCGGACGGGUGAGGAAUACAUC